GUUCUACUGACUGAAGUGAUCCUAUCUUGUGACUCAUGCAUGGCACGUCUAUAAGUCAAGCUGGAAUCCUCUAAAAUAAGUCACAUGGGAAAAAAUUCUGAUCUUAUUCUAGACGAAGAAUGAAAAGCCAGGAAGCUACAUAACCCAAGACCUGCUCCAUAAGAAUUAUGACGUGAUCCUCUCCAUCCCUAUGGAUCUAUGUAUUUUUAAAAAUCCUCUGAGGCCUUGAAAUAUAUCACCAGAUUUAAGAUUCACUAUUUGGAAGAUUCUAUGCCUGGAAACAAAACUCUGGCAUAGAGAAUGGAGCUCCAGUACUAUAGGGCCAGAGGAGAGGAUCCGGCAAUUUGCUGAUUUCAGCAUUUGCCUUGCACUGUGCCUGAUACAUUAUUAGACAGCUAAUUAAUAAUAUCUGCUGGAUGAAGAAAUAAUAGCACUAACACAAUAUGACCAACAGGAACAGGAGUAACUCUUACUUAUUUCGACUAAGGAAUAGGAGAAGACCUUCAUAUAUUAUAUUAUUUUAUGUCAUUCCUACAAUACUUUUUUUUCCCAGGAAAACAAUAUUACUGACAUUCAUUUUAUAGUGUAUAAAUUAAGGCUCAAAAAGAAUGCACAUACAAUGAGAGCAAGACUUUCUGUCUACCUUGUUCACACAUAUAAAAAGUACUCAGAAGAUAGCCUGACACAGAGUGGACCUAAAUAAAUAUUGUGUAAAUGAAUCUUAUACAAAGCAGCCAACAGCUUCAUAUAUUGCUUGAGCAUUUUCCAUGAGGCUGUGUUCCCUGUCUCAAAAGGCAUGUCAUUCCACCGAUGCCCUACUUUAAAAAAGAAAAAAGCUUUCCUUAUAUGACUUCAAGGAGUAAGAAGUGAUGUGGCGAAGCCAGUAAGAAAUGCAACUGUAACUCUGCAUGUGCAGGUGCUAUCUAAUUUAUCAAUGAAGCGUUUCUUUCAUCUUGGUACACAUUCCUCAUUGUCCCCAUUUUGCUAAGUAGAAACCUCAAGCAAUCACUCAGAAGACUAAACACCAAAGAGAUUAAGAAUUAAAGCAUGAGUUCUCUGAGAGCAAGAUCCGGGAUGUGUAUUCUAGGUCAAUGACUGAAACUCAAACUCAAGACUGAAAAGAUGACUGAGAAAACUUUCUAUUUCCCCAAUGUUAGAAAUAAACCUUGACAUCUUAUUGGCUUAAUAAAAUUAACAUUUCCUUCUGGUCACAUAAAUGUAGUUUUAGAACAGAUGGUCUCCUUCCAUCUUGUAGCUCUGAAACGUCUCUUUUUCAUCUGUAAAACGAUGGGGUUGAUGAUAUGGGUAUCUUUUGACUUCUUCCCCAGCAUCCAUUUUCCCCACUUCUUUUAGCAUUGUGAAUUUCCAUUUGUAGAGAAACCAUAUGGUCUGGGUAGUAUUGGCUGUACUGCCCAAAAAAAGAAUGGACUCCGUGUGGCUAAAGUUAAUCAGUGCAUGCCGUCUUCUCAUGAUGGGAGUCAUAAAGACUCCAAAAAUGAGGCACAUACUAUAAACGGAAGAAUAAACUAAGGGAAAGUGAUGCUGGCCUUCAUGAGCUUUUUGAACCACUAGAUCAAGCCUCAUCUGAAGCAUGACAUAUAUUUGAACUAUUACUUUACAGAGAUAAUCAAUUUCUUUUUUGCUUAAGCAAGUUUGAGCAGUGUUUUCUGUUGCUUGUAGCAGAAAGAAUUCUGAUACAGAUGAUAGAACUGAUAUAACCUCUGAAGUUCCUUUCAGCCGUAGAGCAUUGAGCCUCCAUUUUUGUUUUCUGAUUGAGGAUUAUUUGGAAUUAAACACAAAAUAAAUUCAAAAGGGCUGCCAGAGACAGAUCAAGAGUACUCCAGAGAGAUAUGGCCAAGGUGAAGAAACCUUGGCAGAAAGCCUCUCUUAAGGCAUAUUCAUCUGAGGAGAACUGAUUUAUGUUAGGCUCAUGUCUGCAGUAUUUUACAACUGUAAUGGCCAGUAAAUAAAAAGAAAUUUUUUCUGUCAGCUUACCA
rnacentral:lncRNA from 1 species